rnacentral:rRNA from 1 species
GUUGAACGCUGGCGGCAGGCCUAACACAUGCAAGUCGAGCGAGUGGCGGACGGGUGAGUAAUGUAUGGGGAACUGCCCGAUGGAGGGGGAUAACUACUGGAAACGGUAGCUAAUACCGCAUACUAUCGGAUGUGCACAUAUGGGAUUAGCUAGUAGGUGGGGUAACGGCUCACCUAGGCGACGAUCCCUAGCUGGUCUGAGAGGAUGAUCAGCCACGCUGAAACGGAGACACGGUACAGACUCCUACGGGAGGCAGCAGUGGGGAAUAUUGCACAAGGGGCGCAAGCCUGAUGCAGCCAUGCCGAGUGUAUGAAGAAGGCCUUCGGGUUGUAAAGUACUUUCAGCGAGGAGGCGUUACUCGCAGAAGAAGCACCGGCUAACUCCGUGCCAGCAGCCGCGGUAAUAC